rnacentral:lncRNA from 1 species
GUAACCCUAAUCCACUUUCCUCACUCAUCAAAUUUGUUUCUCUCUCAUCUCCAUACCCUCUCUCACUCACACAGAGCAUCAAAAUUAUUUUGUCAUUAAAGUGGAAAACAAAUGAACGAACAGAAUAAGAACAACAAAUUGCGGUGUCACGGGGUGCUUUUAAUUAACUUAUAACUCUUUACAGAUUUAAAUCUAAGAAAAAGAUGAAAACAACUAAGAUAAAAAAGAAGAAUUCAGAAAAUGAUGAAAGAUUUCAUUCCAAUUUAAUUGAAUCUAGUACAAAAAAGAUAGUACAAAAAGAAUACAUGGAUCUGGAACUAUA